rnacentral:rRNA from 1 species
UACGUAGGGGGCAAGCGUUGUCCGGAAUCAUUGGGCGUAAAGAGCGCGUAGGCGGCCCCGUAAGUCCGCUCUGAAAGUCAGGGGCUCAACCCCUGAAUGCGGGUGGAUACUGCUGGGCUAGAGUCCGGAAGAGGCGAGUGGAAUUCCUGGUGUAGCGGUGGAAUGCGCAGAUAUCAGGAGGAACACCAAUAGCGAAGGCAGCUCGCUGGGACGUUACUGACACUGAGGCGCGAAAGCGUGGGGAGCGAACAGG